CAAGAAGAGACCCUAACCGGUCCUCUCAACCCUGCCCAUCGUACCUUUUUUGUUGUUCCCUCGGCGGCUGCUCCGCGGGCCCGCCGGCGGGAAGACCAAACAAACCCUUUGCAAACAAGCAUAUCGAAAUCUCUGAUCAAACAUGAAUUGUCA
rnacentral:misc_RNA from 1 species